GACGAACGCUGGCGGCGUGCUUAACACAUGCAAGUCGAACGAUGAUGCUGGAGCUUGCUCCAGUUGAUUAGUGGCGAACGGGUGAGUAACACGUGAGCAAUCUGCCCUUGACUCUGGGAUAACUGCGGGAAACUGUAGCUAAUACCGGAUACUUUCACCGGAAGGCAUCUUCUGGUGAUGAAAGAAUUUCGGUCAGGGAUGAGCUCGCGGCCUAUCAGCUUGUUGGUGAGGUAACGGCUCACCAAGGCGACGACGGGUAACCGGCCUGAGAGGGUGACCGGUCACACUGGGACUGAGACAGGGCCCAGACUCCGACGGGAGGCAGCAGUGGGGAAUAGUGCACAAUGGGCGCAAGCCUGAUGCAGCAACGCGGCGUGAGGGAUGAGGGCCUUCGGGUUGUAAACCUCUUUUAGCAGGGAAGAAGCGAAAGUGACGGUACCUGCAGAAAAAGCACCAGCUAACUACGUGCCAGCCGCCGCCGUAA
rnacentral:rRNA from 1 species